rnacentral:tRNA from 1 species
GGAGGGUUCGCAUAGUGGUCUAGUGCAGCGCAGUGCUAAUGCGCAGUCCGGGUAAAACUGGACCGAGGGUUCGAAUCCCUCACCCUCCG